rnacentral:lncRNA from 1 species
CCUAUCGUGUGCAUAAAUAAAAUGGUGGUUCAUUACUUCUGCAUGAGAAGGCAACCAGAAGCUAGAUGGCUGACCCAUGGUACAAAUUCCAAGCAUCACCACGGACAGAAUACAAGGAGUUACGUGGCAUUCUACAGGUGGAUGAAAGCAUCUUUAAGUCUAUGUUGCAGCCCAUCAAACAGUUCAUUAUUUAGACUUCCCAAUAAAGAGUUAUGCUCAUUUUAGUAACUGCUGCCAGAAGCUGAGAAGACGCGCGAACCAGCCACGAAAUCCACUAGUGGAUGUGCAUGCUGUCAUGUAUUCAAAGCUGAACGCCCCUAUCUAUAUAUAUCCCUUGUACUAGACAAUGAAAGGACACAUCUUGCUUGGUUAAAAUUCAGAAUACACAAACUCGUGGAGUUUUGUUUAUGCGUGAGUCUUGAGAGGCUUGCAAAACUUGUUCUUUCGAUUCCUGAGGGAGUUGUAGAACGCCGAACUGCGGUUCAUCCAGUUUGUGCCUUCACGUCUAUACGGCGUGAUUGCGUGGGCUGUUCGUCGGUACAUGGAAGGGUGAUUGUCUCGGUAGUUCGUCGCGUGGACAGCCUCGCGGUGCACUGCCUCUUCACCAGGUCACGCAGCGACAAGUUAUCAAGUUCGCGAAUCCUACGAGAAGAUCGGGCCACAACGACUUGUCUCACGCUAUCCCUAGGCGUGAGCAUAUCAUCUGGUACCAAAGCCUUCGUUUCCUCGGUAGGAUUGUUCUUGAUUUUGGUAGGAUAGAGUUUAAAUACCUACUGUCCACUGAGAGCCAAAAAGAAAACCUACAGCCCAAAUUCAUAUGUGCUACUGAUUUUGUAGUUUGCUUUAUCGAGUUUUAAUCCUUUAAUAUUUGUCUAGUUGCUGAAUUUUUCUUUUCCACAAUGUUCUAGUUAUUAUCUUUGUUCUAAUCAUCAAAUUGCUUGCUGCAUGUACCCAUCCAUCCCACCCUUGUUUUCUAACCGCCACAUAUUCCCCACCGCAGUUUCUUGUUUUUGUGCUGCACCAUCCAUCUUAGUGAUCCCCUUUAGUUGAAAGUUGUGCUGCGUUUGACACAGAGGUUAAAAGAAAAGAUGUCUAUGGGUCAAAAGAAGGACUGAAAACGAGUUUUUGUUCCAAAAAAAAAGAGAAAAAAAAAGAAAAGCAAGAAAGAAAAAAAAAGAAAAACAAAAAGAGAACUGUGUGCAGCACACCAAAAAGGGGUUUGGGCAGCAACAAGUUUUCGGUUGGUGCAAAUUGGUGAUCAUCUAUCCACUUACUACAUCUCAUUCCUUUCUUUGUGCAUCCUUUCCUUUAUAUUCAGCAACUUAGACUUCUGUUCUUGGAUUAUUAUUUGGUUUUGCAUCACUAUAUUUCAGUGCAUUCCACUAACAUAUUACCCCACCAAGCUCCACUUAAAGCACCGUGAGUUGUUGCACCGUCGUCGCUGUUACAAUCACUCUUCCCUACAGAUCGCAGCCCUGGUUCUUGCUCUUUUCAGGGAGAGAAAGAACUUGUUUUGUAAGUGGUGAGGGAGUGAUUCCACAUAUAUAUUGUCCUUUUUUUUCCUCUACUAACAUGGCAGGACGUGGAGAUGGUGCCGCUGUUUCGGUGGAGGAAUUUCAGGAGUUGCGUACACAAAUGAAUGAUUUGGUGCAGCAGCUCCAAACUCUCCAAUUGAACAUACCACGUCGAGAACCGCCAUCAAAUGAGGAUGAUGAUAUUGACG